rnacentral:tRNA from 1 species
UGGCCGGGAUAGCUCAGUUGGUAGAGCAGAGGACU